rnacentral:lncRNA from 1 species
GUAGGGCACUAUAUGGGGUAUAGGGCCUUGGUUAAAGGUAGGGCACUAUAUGGGGAAUAGGGCCUUGGUUAAAGGUAGGGCACUAUAUGGGGAAUAGGGCCUUGGUUAAAGGUAGUGGACUAUAUGGGGAAUAGGGCCUUGGUUAAAGGUAGGGCACUAUAUGGGGAAUAGGGCCUUGGUUAAAGGUAGGGCACUAUAUGGGGAAUAGAGCCUUGGUUAAAGGUAGGGCACUAUAUGGGGAAUAGGGCCUUGGUUAAAGGUAGGGCACUAUAUGGGGAAUAGGGCCUUGGUUAAUGGUAGGGCACUAUAUGGGGAAUAGGGCCUUGGUUAAUGGUAGGGCACUAUAUGGGGAAUAGGGCCUUGGUUAAAGGUAGGGCACUAUAUGGGGAAUAGGGCCUUGGUUAAAGGUAGGGCACUAUAUGGGGAAUAGGGCCUUGGUUAAUGGUAGGGCACUAUAUGGGGAAUAGGGCCUUGGUUAAAGGUGGU